rnacentral:pre_miRNA from 1 species
GGAAUCAAAGUCACAAUAGGUACUCUAACAACAACACUGACCUUUCCAUAGUAAUUAUUAGUAAGUGCUAUUUGUUGGAGUUGUACAGGAGU